AGUGAACGCUGGCGGUAGGCCUAACACAUGCAAGUCGAACGGCAGCACAGUAAGAGCUUGCUCUUACGGGUGGCGAGUGGCGGACGGGUGAGGAAUACAUCGGAAUCUACUUUUUCGUGGGGGAUAACGUAGGGAAACUUACGCUAAUACCGCAUACGACCUACGGGUGAAAGCAGGGGAUCUUCGGACCUUGCGCGAUUGAAUGAGCCGAUGUCGGAUUAGCUAGUUGGCGGGGUAAAGGCCCACCAAGGCGACGAUCCGUAGCUGGUCUGAGAGGAUGAUCAGCCCAACUGGAACUGAGAUACGGUCCAGACUCCUACGGGAGGCAGCAGUGGGGAAUAUUGGACAAAGGGCGCAAGCCUGAUCCAGCCAUACCGCGUGGGUGAAGAAGGCCUUCGGGUUGUAAAGCCCUUUUGUUGGGAAAGAAAAGCAGCAGGUUAAUACCCCGCUGUUCUGACGGUACCCAAAGAAUAAGCACCGGCUAACUUCGUG
rnacentral:rRNA from 1 species